ACUUGGACACCUUGUUCUAUAAGGAGCUCUCUCUUUUCUUUCUUGUGUCUGUGUUUCGGUUCCAUUCUGGGUACAACAGUUAGAGACUCCCGCAAUCUAUGGAGCAGCAUGCCUGCAGAGGUUCCGGGGCCUCUCUCAUGCUGGAGUCAUGCAGGGUUUGCCCUGCAAAGCCUUUUAGGGUAUCUUUUCACGGCAUUAACUUUCCUCAACUGUAAACUCUGUUAAUAUAGUAUAAGAAGGAUUUAAUUUCCAGAAGGUAAGCAUUUUUCUUACUAAUUAGUCAUAUCCCUUCCAUCCGGAGGAGCGUUUGGGCCAGAACGGCCCAGUAUUUAGCCAAAUGCCCGUGGUGUGGCCUCCUCACCAGUGAAGCUGUGGCCCACCCGGGAGAAUAAGCCAAGGAACGCUUGAGAAGAGCAGGCACCUCCAAACACCCAAACUCCUCUCAUCUUUCUAAAAACCAUGCCACAUUCCUGACAUUUUACAUUACGGCUAAUCAGCCU
rnacentral:lncRNA from 1 species